UGCAAUGGUCACAAUAAGACACUUUCAGAUAGUAGUGCUAAUGCUAUAAAGAAAUGAAACAAGGUAAUGGAAUUUUGAGUGGUUGAGUGAAAGGGUGUGGGUGGUCAGCAGAGGUAUACCUGAGCUGGCAUCUGAAUGCUGAGAAGGAAGUGGCUAUAAUAAGAUCUGGGGAAGAACAUUCCAGGGAGAAGGAGCACCACUGGGGCAGCAAUGAACCUGGCGAGCAAGAGGGGGCAGAAGUGAGAUUGCUAGGCUGGGAUCAGAUUGUUGCACCUUCUGGGCCUUGGUCUCCUGACCAUGUGACCAUGGUAAGGCGUGGGCUUUUAAUUCUAAAUUCAUUAGGAAGCCACUGGGAGGGGAGAGGGGUUAAAUGAGAGAGUGGCACAAUCUCCUUCACGUCACUCUGGCUGCUGAUUAGUGUGUAGAAGGGGGUAGGGGGAGGAAAGAAGGCAAGUGUGGAGGCAGGGAGACUCCAGGGCAGGGAGUGUUCGCAGCAGCAAGAGGCAGGAGGCUGGCCUAAGGUAUAGCAGCUGGGGGUGGUGACAGGUUAUCAGAUUUGGAGUAUAUCUUGGAGAUAGAAGAUAGGACUUGUCGAAAGAAAGGACUCAAGGAUAAGUAGCGGAAUAAAUGGUGAUGCUAUUAACUGACAUAGACAAGGAGAAGGUGUGGGUUUGGGCAUGGGAGUGGGAAAUAAGGCAGAAGUCCUGUUUAAAAUAUGCAAUUAGAGGUGCCAAAUAGGAUUCGUGUGUCUGGAGGUCUGGGGAGAAGGUGGAGGUAUUUAGGGAGGUGGAACCAAGGGGGAGGAAGCAAAGUGCUUAGGGCAUGCAAUUUAAGGAGAUAAUCACUCUCCGGGCUAACCCUGCACUUUCAUGAGCCUGAGAGUGAAUGUCUCCUUAAAUUUUAUGACUAGGGGCCUCCACGGCCUCGCCCUGGUAUUUAAAACCGGAGGAAUGGCUAUCACCUGCAGAGAAACUGUAGUUAGAGAAGGGGAGGGCUCUGGGACUCCCCUACAUUUCCCUGCACGGGAGAGAGGAGAAACCAGCCAAGGAGACUGAGAAAGAGAGCUUGUGACUUAGGAACAAAUCCAUGGAUGGGAUGGCAGAGAAGCCAAGGGAAGAAAAUGGUCCAAACAAUGAUGUGAAUCUAUAAGGACAGGACUUUUGCCUGGCUGAAGCUGAGAGCAGACCGUUCAAAUAAAUACCGGGAGGUGUCACUUGAGCGAGAUUGGAUACUGUGUAUCUAGGAGGACAGCUAAGCAACUUUAACAGCCCCAUUACCUUAAUGAACUGAAGCCAUUCAGCGAAAAGAGUUGGUAUUCACUUCAUCAAAUCUAGUGGAUGAUAAUUUUCCGAAAAGCUAAAGACUAAUUCUUGAGGAUUUUUUGGAGCCCUGUGGCAAUUCGUAUCACCUAAUAACCUAUGUGAGUGAAAGUUGGUGUCCAGUGACUGCGAAGAAGAUAGAAGGAAUGUUGCAGAAAUAUAAAUAGGCCAGCACUGAAAUUUAAUUAGACACUGCAUAUGUUAAUAAUAAAUUCAAUUAAUUUAGCUUUCUACCUAUGCUAGAGAGAAAAAAAAAUACCCAGGCAAAAUAAUAAUUCAUUUUAAAUGCCUCACUUGGUAACCUCCUUUCCUGAAGAGUGAUUUAUGCAGUAAUUUACUGGCUGUUUCUUCAUAAGAUUGUUCCAAACCAGCCCUUUUGAAAUAAUAAUAAUUUCUGAAUGUGUGUUGUGAGAGAUAUAACAAAUGCCUUCUUAUUAAUUUUCAUUUAAUGAGUUGCCUAUUCACAUGGUAAUUUUUUAAAAAUUCUCUUCUUAAGAUAAACAGGUUAUAAAUACUGUGGGUAACACUUCCAUCUCACAAAAAUCGAACAGAAAACCCAUCUCAUAUUCUCUACAUGAUUUGAAGGUCAAUCAGUUGCAAAUUUUCUAUCCUAAAUAGGCAUCUGUUUCUUUCCCAGUUAGCAUAGCAGAUCCGCUUUAAAUUCCAAAAGCCAAGUGAUUCACAUUGGUGAAAAAAGAAAAAAAAAUAUUAGCAGCAGGAAAGGUGCUAGCAGGGAUAAAAGAGGGAUAGAUGGGGUACAAAGUCAUGAGCAAGGUGGAAAAGAAGUUAGAGUUGCUUAAGGAGCCCAUGACACUAAAUCUUUUUGUUUUAAGAACAAAAAGAAGAUCGUCUCUCUUACAGCUUUCUAUUUCUCCAAGUUGCCCCCCCUUUAAAAAGAUACCAAAAUUUCUAGCAUAAAUAUUAAUGUUUAAGAGAAUUUAAUUGCUUACCUUCUCAAAAAGCUUAAUUCCAUACCAACUCAUUAACUAUAUAUUGUCAUAAUAAAAACAGAAUGAAAUAAUAACAAAAUAGUAAAAACUAGGAAGAAGAAAUUGCUCACAAGAGUCCUAGGUAUUUCAAAUGGUUCACGUCUGUUUUAAGAGGCUUGUAAUAGACAGGGCAAGGCUCUUAAAAAUAAUUCCUUCUUAAAAGUAAUUCCUUGUAACAAUUGGGAGAGUGCGCCUAAAGUAUUAAAUAAUUCAAAUGCAAUUGUUACUUACGUGAGAA